rnacentral:rRNA from 1 species
UACAGAGGUCUCAAGCGUUGUUCGGAUUCAUUGGGCGUAAAGGGUGCGUAGGCGGCGCGGUAAGUCGGGUGUGAAAUCUCGGGGCUUAACUCCGAAACUGCAUUCGAUACUGCCGUGCUUGAGGACUGGAGAGGAGACUGGAAUUUACGGUGUAGCAGUGAAAUGCGUAGAUAUCGUAAGGAAGACCAGUGGCGAAGGCGAGUUCCUGGACAGUUACUGACACUGAGGCACGAAGGCCAGGGGAGCAAACGGG